AAACAUUGCGUUGAACCACUAAAUGGCUAGUCUAGUGUUGUUUGGGGUUAGAGCAUGUUAGAAUAUAAUAAUUUUGAUUGAUUACAAGUGCUAGAGAUGCAUGAAGAGUGUUUAGAAGUGUGUAGAAAGACUUGUUGAAAUUGGGUCCCUAAUGGGCUAAGAACUCGGAAACAUUGCAUUGAACCGCUAAAUUACUUAUCUAGUGUUGUUUGAGAUCAGAAUAUGUUAGAAUAAUAUAAAUUUGAUUGAUUACAAGUGCUAUAGAUGCAUGAAGAGUGUUUAGAAGUGUGGAGAAGGACUUGUUGAAAUUGGGUCCCAAAUGGGCUAAGAACUAGCAAACAUUCCGUUGAACAACUAAAUGACUUAUCUAGUGUUGUUUGGGGUUAGAAUAUGUUAGAUUACAAUAAAUUUAAUUGAUUACAAGCGCUAUAUAUGCAUGAAGAGUGUUAAUUAGUGUGUAAAAAUACUAGUUGAAAUUUGGUCCCAAAUGGGCUAAGAAUCCAUAAACAUCUCUUUUGAGCUGUUAAUGGUUUGUGUAGUGUUAUUUAGGGUUAGAACAUGUUUGAAUACAAUAAAUUUGAUUGAUGACAAGGGGUAGAGAUGCAUGA
rnacentral:lncRNA from 1 species